UUAAGUGAAUAAGGGCGCACGGUGGAUGCCUUGGCACUAGGAGCCGAUGAAGGACGGGACUAACACCGAUAUGCUUUGGGGAGCUGUAAGUAAGCUAUGAUCCAGAGAUUUCCGAAUGGGGGAACCCAAUAUCUUUUAUAGGAUAUUACUUUUCAGUGAAUACAUAGCUGAUUAGAGGUAGACGCAGAGAACUGAAACAUCUUAGUACCUGCAGGAAGAGAAAGAAAAUUCGAUUCCCUGAGUAGCGGCGAGCGAAACGGGAAGAGCCCAAACCAACAAGCUUGCUUGUUGGGGUUGUAGGACUCCAAUAUGGUAGUCUGUUAGUAUAGUUGAAGGAUUUGGAAAAUUCCGCUAAAGAGGGUGAAAGCCCCGUAGACGAAAUGCUGACAACACCUAGGAGGAUCCUGAGUACGGCGGAACACGAGAAAUUCCGUCGGAAUCCGCGGGGACCAUCCCGCAAGGCUAAAUACUCCCUAGUGACCGAUAGUGAACCAGUACCGUGAGGGAAAGGUGAAAAGCACCCCGGAAGGGGAGUGAAAUAGAUCCUGAAACCGUGUGCCUACAACAAGUCAAAGCUCGUUAAUGAGUGAUGGCGUGCCUUUUGUAGAAUGAACCGGCGAGUUACGAUUGCAUGCGAGGUUAAGUCGAAGAGACGGAGCCGCAGCGAAAGCGAGUCUGAAUAGGGCGAAUGAGUAUGUAGUCGUAGACCCGAAACCAUGUGAUCUACCCAUGUCCAGGUUGAAGGUGCGGUAAAACGCACUGGAGGACCGAACCCACGUACGUUGAAAAGUGCGGGGAUGAGGUGUGGGUAGCGGAGAAAUUCCAAACGAACUUGGAGAUAGCUGGUUCUCUCCGAAAUAGCUUUAGGGCUAGCCUCGGAAUUGAGAAUGAUGGAGGUAGAGCACUGUUUGGACUAGGGGCCCAUCUCGGGUUACCGAAUUCAGAUAAACUCCGAAUGCCAUUCAUUUAUAUCCGGGAGUCAGACUGCGAGUGAUAAGAUCCGUAGUCGAAAGGGAAACAGCCCAGACCACCAGCUAAGGUCCCAAAAUAUAUGUUAAGUGGAAAAGGAUGUGGGGUUGCACAGACAACUAGGAUGUUGGCUUAGAAGCAGCCACCAAUUAAAGAGUGCGUAAUAGCUCACUAGUCGAGUGACCCUGCGCCGAAAAUGUACCGGGGCUAAACAUAUUACCGAAGCUGUGGACUACACCAUUAGGUGUAGUGGUAGGAGAGCGUUCUAAGGGCGUUGAAGGUCGAUCGUGAGGACGGCUGGAGCGCUUAGAAGUGAGAAUGCCGGUAUGAGUAGCGAAAGACAGGUGAGAAUCCUGUCCACCGUAUGACUAAGGUUUCCUGGGGAAGGCUCGUCCGCCCAGGGUUAGUCGGGACCUAAGCCGAGGCCGAUAGGCGUAGGCGAUGGACAACAGGUUGAUAUUCCUGUACCAGUUGUUUUUGUUUGAGCAAUGGAGGGACGCAGUAGGCUAAGGAAUGCAUGCGAUUGGAAGUGCAUGUCCAAGCAAUGAGUCUUGAGUAGAGUUAAAUGCUUUACUCUCUAAGGACAAGUUGUGACGGGGAGCGAAAUAAUAGUAGCGAAGUUCCUGAUGUCACACUGCCAAGAAAAGCUUCUAGUGAGAAAACAACUGCCCGUACCGUAAACCGACACAGGUAGUCGAGGAGAGUAUCCUAAGGUGAGCGAGCGAACUCUCGUUAAGGAACUCGGCAAAAUGACCCCGUAACUUCGGGAGAAGGGGUGCUGACUUCGGUCAGCCGCAGUGAAUAGGCCCAAGCGACUGUUUAUCAAAAACACAGGUCUCUGCAAAAUCGUAAGAUGAAGUAUAGGGGCUGACGCCUGCCCGGUGCUGGAAGGUUAAGAGGAUGGGUUAGCUUCGGCGAAGCUCAGAAUUGAAGCCCCAGUAAACGGCGGCCGUAACUAUAACGGUCCUAAGGUAGCGAAAUUCCUUGUCGGGUAAGUUCCGACCCGCACGAAAGGCGUAACGAUUUGGGCACUGUCUCAACGAGAGACUCGGUGAAAUUUUAGUACCUGUGAAGAUGCAGGUUACCCGCGACAGGACGGAAAGACCCCAUGGAGCUUUACUGUAGUUUGAUAUUGAGUGUUUGUACCACAUGUACAGGAUAGGUAGGAGCCGAUGAGACCGGAACGCUAGUUUCGGAGGAGGCGCUGGUGGGAUACUACCCUUGUGUUAUGAACCCUCUAACCCGCACCACUAAUCGUGGUGGGAGACAGUGUCAGAUGGGCAGUUUGACUGGGGCGGUCGCCUCCUAAAAGGUAACGGAGGCGCCCAAAGGUUCCCUCAGAAUGGUUGGAAAUCAUUCGAAGAGUGUAAAGGCAGAAGGGAGCUUGACUGCGAGACCUACAAGUCGAGCAGGGACGAAAGUCGGGCUUAGUGAUCCGGUGGUUCCGCAUGGAAGGGCCAUCGCUCAACGGAUAAAAGCUACCCUGGGGAUAACAGGCUUAUCUCCCCCAAGAGUCCACAUCGACGGGGAGGUUUGGCACCUCGAUGUCGGCUCGUCGCAUCCUGGGGCUGUAGUCGGUCCCAAGGGUUGGGCUGUUCGCCCAUUAAAGCGGCACGCGAGCUGGGUUCAGAACGUCGUGAGACAGUUCGGUCCCUAUCCGUCGCGGGCGUUGGAAAUUUGAGAGGAGCUGUCCUUAGUACGAGAGGACCGGGAUGGACUUACCGCUGGUGUACCAGUUGUUCUGCCAAGGGCAUUGCUGGGUAGCUAUGUAGGGAAGGGAUAAACGCUGAAAGCAUCUAAGUGUGAAGCCCACCUCAAGAUGAGAUUUCCCAUUUCUUUAAGAAAGUAAGACCCCUGAGAGAUGAUCAGGUAGAUAGGUUGGAAGUGGAAGGCUAGUGAUAGUUGGAGCGGACCAAUACUAAUCGGUCGAGGACUUAACCAA
rnacentral:rRNA from 1 species